CAAUAGCGUAUAUUAAAGUUGUUGCAGUUAAAAAGCUCGUAGUUGGAUUUCUGGUGGGGGUCGCUGGUCCGCUGCGAAAGCGGCGUGUACCGAUGCGUACCUACCGCCAUCCUCGGGGGAACUGCGUGUGGGAUUAGUUUCUCGUGCGUAUGGACGCCCGUCAUUUACUGUGAAAAAAUUAGAGUGUUCAAAGCAGGCUUAGGCCGUUGAAUACAUUAGCAUGGAAUAAUAAGAUAGGACCUUGGCGGUCUAUUUUGUUGGUUUGCACGCCAAGGUAAUGAUUAAUAGGGAUAGUUGGGGGUAUUCGUAUUCAAUUGUCAGAGGUGAAAUUCUUAGAUUUAUGGAAGACGAACUACUGCGAAAGCAUUUACCAAGGAUGUUUNCAUUA
rnacentral:rRNA from 1 species